rnacentral:rRNA from 1 species
CCUACGGGCGGCAGCAGUGAGGAAUAUUGGUCAAUGGACGAGAGUCUGAACCAGCCAAGUAGCGUGAAGGAUGACUGCCCUAUGGGUUGUAAACUUCUUUUAUAUGGGAAUAAAAUGUUCCACGUGUGGGAUUUUGUAUGUACCAUAUGAAUAAGGAUCGGCUAACUCCGUGCCAGCAGCCGCGGUAAUACGGAGGAUCCGAGCGUUAUCCGGAUUUAUUGGGUUUAAAGGGAGCGUAGGUGGAUUGUUAAGUCAGUUGUGAAAGUUUGCGGCUCAACCGUAAAAUUGCAGUUGAAACUGGCAGUCUUGAGUACAGUAGAGGUGGGCGGAAUUCGUGGUGUAGCGGUGAAAUGAUUAGAUAUCACGAAGAACUCCGAUUGCGAAGGCAGUUCACUGGACUGCAACUGACACUGAGGCUCGAAAGUGUGGGUAUCAAACAGGAUUAGAUACCCCUGUAGUC